rnacentral:rRNA from 1 species
UGCAGUCGAGCGGUAGAGAGGAGCUUGCUCCUCUUGAGAGCGGCGGACGGGUGAGUAAUGCCUAGGAAUCUGCCUGGUAGUGGGGGAUAACGUUCGGAAACGGACGCUAAUACCGCAUACGUCCUACGGGAGAAAGCAGGGGACCUUCGGGCCUUGCGCUAUCAGAUGAGCCUAGGUCGGAUUAGCUAGUUGGUGAGGUAAUGGCUCACCAAGGCGACGAUCCGUAACUGGUCUGAGAGGAUGAUCAGUCACACUGGAACUGAGACACGGUCCAGACUCCUACGGGAGGCAGCAGUGGGGAAUAUUGGACAAUGGGCGAAAGCCUGAUCCAGCCAUGCCGCGUGUGUGAAGAAGGUCUUCGGAUUGUAAAGCACUUUAAGUUGGGAGGAAGGGCAGUAAAUUAAUACUUUGCUGUUUUGACGUUACCGACAGAAUAAGCACCGGCUAACUCUGUGCCAGCAGCCGCGGUAAU